ensembl:antisense predicted gene 16098
UCGAUGGUUACUAGGUGACUCCGCCCGACCUCGCCUCCUGCACGUUUUCUUGCUUUAGGUUUUUGGCUUCACCUCCUAGUAGGUCUUUUUAGAAGGAAUAAUCAAUCAUACCUGAGGCUGGGCAAAUGAAAAGAUGAGGAAAUGAGGAACCGGUGUUGUCUGGUUGGAGAUGGAUUGAUGAGGGCUUUAUUUACCGAGUAAGGACGGGAAAAGGGCGGAUUUGAGAAAGAGGAUAAUCACACCCCGGCCACGCGGACGGAAGUGGGAAUCUGGACCAGUGGCAAGGGUCAAGGGUUGAAGAUUGAAAUUUGGCGUAGAGAUCAACCAAGAGACCAGGAUAAAGUGGUUGGAGGAGGCAUAAGAACCAUAGGCUGAAGAAGACAAUGGAGACGGGGAAAUGUGUUACGGAGAGAUUGGAGGAGAAAGGGUUCUAGGUCUCCUGCAGGUGCUAAGUUCAGGAGAAAGACCCAUGACCAGCUGCAGCCCGAGCUUCCAGAGACAUUCAGCAAGGUGGUCUGUGUGUUUGUGUCUAAGUGUUCAACUACGUGCUCUGCUUAUCUCCCCCAGCUCACCCCAGAUCCGCUCAUUGAGCCCCACACCACUCUCUGGCUUACUCUACCAAGAACUCUUAACUCUCCUCCACCUGGCUCUCCCCCUGUCCUUCAAGACCAGCCUCCAAGUCAGCCUCUCUCUGAUAAGCUUUGUCGAUCGCUCCACCAUCUCCAUGACCCUCUGUCCCUAAUACAGUUUUCAACUAAUACAUCUCUGUCUUGUUCUCCGAGGUUUGUGCUUUUAA